CAUCAGUCCAUUCCGUGUCAAACAGAGAAACGGUAUCUCCCGCCUAUUUUCCAUGGCUCUUACGGAAAUUUCAGGAAAAUUUGCCCUAGAGCUAGCAAAGUUCGUGUUUGGUUUAGCCGCUGGCUCACAGUAUCUCCUUCCAGGUGCCGAUGAGGCGCGCUCCUUCAAGCUUGAUCCGAACAAAGAGGGAUUUGAUCCAGCUUAUUUGUCAAUCUGCUGGAUGGCUGCUAAUCUGAUCGCGUGGUUGAUGUCUGUAAUGGUUAUCUCGAUCGAAGUCGUAACUGAGACGGGAUGCGCAAUCGGCAAUGUGUCAGUGAAGAGCAAAAACAAAUGGCGCAGAUCUGGUUUAUUUUUGGAUUUCCUAUCCUGGAUCCUUCAUUUGACUGGGUCCGGAUUUCAUUUGGCCGCAAAUUCGUACUCUCAAUCUCAAUCAGAUCUCGGAUUCCUCAUCCUCGUCCUUUCCGUUAUAGUCAUAAUCGUCAUAGUCUUUUGCUCAAUGAUCAUGCUGUACAAGUUCUGGAAAGCCCCUGCCGUAGACACAGAUGACAAUAUUCUUCGGUACUAGGAAUUUCAACUAGAUUGAUUGUUCUCUACAACAAUAUCUUCCAUAAAACAUUUCAGUUGUUUGAAUUUCGUUUGAAUUUUUUUUUUCUACUUUGAAGUUGUUAAUCGAACCUAUGUUACUGACUUUUAGGAAAAACAGAUAAGAAAUUGCUGAAGCUUCAUGAUUGAUUUUUGUGGAGAUUUUAAAUGCGUUUACCUAAAUUGUUAAACCUGUUACAUUGAUU